GAGCUAUUACUAACUUCUCCAUUUGAUUUUUUAUGGAUGUGAAAAAUGCUGCUACUUGUCUAUGUUAUUAUGUGGUAUUUGUUCUCUUGGAUUGAAAUUUAUGCCCACAGAUAUUUCUUUUCAUUUGAAAAUGAAUGUGAAGAUAACUGUUUACAGCUUUGGUUAAUUGCACUUUUCAUCACUCUGAUCAAUUUCUUGUAAAGUGCUAUGGGAAUUAUUUUUCCUGUGAAUAUUAAUGAUUUUACUACUGCCUCCGAAGUUUUAAAAAAGGUUCUGUAGACAGAAAACAGUUGUUGUGACCAAAAACAACCAAAAAAAGAAAAAAAGGGAAAACUGGCUUACCUUUCUCAGAUGAAUUAAAUGAUUUUAACAACUUCCCAAUUACCAGGGUUAUACAUUGCUUUAUUCAGUUAUUAAUACAGUCAAAUUAAUUUUAACAAUAUAGGCACAAUUCAUUUACAAAUUCAGUACAGUAGUCCAGGGCUACCUGUAAGUGGUCUCUUUAUUUUAUUCUUUACAUCAGAAAAAUGAAUGUCAGUUUUGCCAGUAUUUUACAAUGAGGCUCAUCGUUUAAAAUUUUAUAGUGUAUGACAUGUAAAUAAACCAGUAUUUAUUGUAGGUUGUUUGACUCAGGCAUUUCAAAUGGAUAUAGGUUAAUGGCAAUGGAAUCCUAUUUAUUUGGUAGUUGGUUUUUUUUGUUUGUUUUUGUUUAUUUACUUUUGCUAUUUGUGUUGUCUAAACUUUGCUUCAACUGAAGACAGUGUAAGGAGUUGAAAAUAGAAUCAACAUAGCAAUGGAAAGCAAUGCAAAGAGGGUAAAUCUUGUUUUAAUUUUUUUAACUUUUUUUUUUUGUAAAUAAAUAGUACUGUGAUACUUUAGGUGUGACCUCUAUUCCACACGAUAGUUAGAACCAGAAAAACAUUUUUGCUUUCUAGUUAUACUAUUGGUUCAUUGUAAAUGCAUUACCAAAAGACAAUAUGAAAAAGAGCAAGAUUAAGUUUUUCUAACAUUGUCCACUUCAGGGGCAAGCAUGCUUGGUAUAGAGCUCUAGCUUGUGUAUACCUUAAACUGUAACUUGCAGGUGUUUUUCAGUUGCUGCACUUUUUAUUUAAUCUUGCUCAGUCCCAGUAACUAUCUCAAAGGUAAUUGCUGGAAUAUGCAUUUUGAAAUACGGUUUAAAAAAAAUCUGUGUAUUGUUUCAUCUAAAAAGAAAAGCACUAUUGCAAACACUAAAAACGUGUUAAACUUUGUAGUUAUUUUGCAUUCCUGUACUUUACAAACUGUCAUCACAGCAAAAAGUUUAAUUAGGUAAUGAAAUAUUUUUGUAAAUAAAUACCGUUAAGCUGGUAUUUUAAAAAAUGUAUUAUAAAUUAAUGUUUCUGGAAAAUGUUCAUAUAUAUGUAUAUGAAUGUCUCUUUAUGCUGAAGGGCUCUGAUUGGGCAAAAUAAAAUACUCUAAUCUCUCCUG
rnacentral:sRNA from 1 species